UUUUUUUUUCGGCAAAUGUUAGUUUUGUUAGCAGAAGAGAUCGAAUCUGCAACCUUUUCCUCCUUUCCUUCUCCCUUAACCAUAAAAAGCAAUACACUGUGAGCAACACAUAGCAUGCACAAGUCUUGAAUUCAAAUUCUGUGUUGAUGCAAGCGACAAGCUUCAGUUCAAAGCAUUGAAUAAUUAAACAUUUGGCAUGGAGCUUGUGCACAACACAAGGAACUUAUGCCUUUGAAGGGAAUGGCUAUAGCUAAAUGGGAAUCCAAAUUUAAUUUAUCAGGUGCUCUACACUAGUGAACCAAAUCUUCCACAAUCCCUCACCACCAGUGUGAACAAAACAUUACAUCAGCGUGUGAUGAUUGUUGAUGAUUAUGUCAUUGCCUCGACAAUUGUAGUAUAUACAUGUGACUCAAUCGCAAGCAAAGGAAAGCUAAUAUACUCUUUCUCUUUGUUCUUUGGAGAAAAUUGGUGGAAACAAGUCAACCAUUGUGUCAACUCUUCACACCCAUUUUUACAAGAAUCCAUAGGACAACUGUUUAUAUUCCAUGCACAUUUCAAAUCCAACGACACAUGGUAAUUCACUUAUUCACACCAUCAGGGAAUAACAAUUUUCUGCUUCAUUCAUUUCAAAGGAUGUAUGUUUUAAAAGGGUAAAUUCCCACUUUAGUCUUGAAAUUUUAAGCAUUUUCUUUUAGUUUUUUAAUUUUAUAAAAUUCUCACUUUAAUUUCUAA